UACGUAGGGUGCAAGCGUUAAUCGGAAUUACUGGGCGUAAAGCGUGCGCAGGCGGUUGUGCAAGACCGAUGUGAAAUCCCCGGGCUUAACCUGGGAAUGGCAUUGGUGACUGCACGGCUAGAGUGUGUCAGAGGGGGGUAGAAUUCCACGUGUGAGCAGUGAAAUGCGUAGAUAUGUGGAGGAACACCGGUGGCGAAGGCGGCUCACUGGCUCAUUACUGAGCUCAGGCGCGAUAGCGUGGGGAUCAAACAGG
rnacentral:rRNA from 1 species